rnacentral:lncRNA from 12 species
AUCCUCGGCCAGGAGCCAGAGAGCCCUCCUGCCGGUGCAGCGCCUUGAACCCUAGAGGUUGCCGCCGCGACCGCGACCGCGAAGGCGCGUCUUCCCUCUUUCUCGGGCCGAUCCCCGAGCUCGGUGGGCGCGGGAGGUGGCACAGGGGUGUCCGGUCGGUGGACCUGUCCUCGCUUACCCGGCGGGAGGGAAGCGAGAGCCCCUGCAGGCUUCCUGAAAAACGCCUUAUCGAAGCGGCAGCCACGGAAAAGCCGCGCAGCCCCGCGUGGGCCCGCCGGCCGCCCACACCCGCGCCCGCCGCCCCGGCCUCCCCUCCCCGCGGCAGCAGGGCGCCCCGGCUCGCGCCCCGCCGCCCCUCCCGCCCCUCCCCGCCCCGGGGCGCCCCCGGCCGUCUGCCGGCAGCUUGGGCGCUGGGCUCGUUCCCGACGGCUCCGUGAUCGCUCCCUGUUUCUGUGCCGGUCCCGGUCGCGCGUGUCAGAGCUCGGGGCCCUGCACACUCGUGGCAGUCCGCGGUGAGCUCCCCCGGUGUUGUGCUGCCUGCACCCCCAGAAGGGAGCCGACCGGCUGCCCCGACGGCCGCGCGGGCUUGGUCGCGGCGCACGCUGCAGCCUGGAGCAACCCCCACACCCACCGAGGCUGAUUCCCAGGGGUGCCAGCCGCUUCCUCCCCACCCCUCUGAGGCGGUGCAGCGGUGUCCCGUCGUGGUUUUAAUUUGCAUUUCCCUGAUGAUUAAUGAGGCGGAGCACCGUUUCAUAUGCUCAUCGGCCUUUCCCUUUUCUGUGAAGUGCUCAUUCAAGUCUUCUGCCCCUUUUUCUAUUGGGUUACCUGCAUUUUUCUAAUGGGUUUAUAGGU